CCAGCGGGCCAAAAAGGCAGGCAGCGCGGGCAGGAGCGAGACCGCGCAGACCGCGUCUUCCCCACGAACCCUAGCCGCGUCCUCGCCUCCUCCUCCAUCCGCGCCGCCGCGUCCUCGUCUCCUCCUCCAUCCGCGCGCCUCGGCGGCGACCCCAUGGAGGGCGGCCGGGUCGGAGCAGUCCCCGCGUCCCUCCUUCCCCGCUCGGCGCUCUCUACUCCCAGCGCAGCUGCCGCCUCCCUCCACUCUUCCCAUCUCGCUAGAGCCGCCGCAUCCGGAGGCGACCGGCGUUGCUCCAUCUCGACCUGCCCGUAACCUUCUCUCCCCGCAGCGGGCGGAGAAGAUGGAGAUGAGCUCGUCCGCCCACCUUCCACCAUGGUUUGCAGCGGCCGGAGAAGAUGGAGAGGCCGAACUACGGCUGCCUCGUGUGCGCUCUCCUGCAUCUCGCGUGGGAGCGAGUGGUGGUGACUAGCAUAGAAGGUGGAGGAGGUCAUUGGGGCCGGCUUCCCUUCCGUUUUGGCUGCCAAGCUCCACGCGUUGGUGUUUGAUGAAAGUUCAGUAAGGCUGUGAGGGAAUACCAAACGAGAGAGGAUCCAGUAUCUGUUACAUGCAUCAGAUAUAGUUUGCAGUCAAGACACCUGCUCCCUCGUCAUCGACGAAAGGAGGAGAGCAGCAGCCACAACAGGCGACGGUGCUGGCGAAUGCGUCAGACAUGAGUCGCUUCGGCUUCUUCCAGCGGCCCAGCCAUGACGCCCUCAAGCCGCCGAUAGCAGCGGCCCUCUCCCAAGCUACACUGCUCCUGAUCUUCGUCGCCCCACACCGUCGUACUAUGCACAGCUCAGCCUGGCCAUGAUGCUCUUAGCCCGCGGUCGCUCACAGCGUAACCGACGGUGGCGACUCACUCCCAACCCGUGUUGCUCUCCAUCAGUGCUGACGAAUUAGUUUGUUUUACAGCGUGGGCACCAGGUCUCUGAGUAGUUUAAAUCUGAACGCAACACCAAGGCUGCCAGCCUGAGCAUUGCCGAACAGUACAGCAAAGCAUUUUCUGAACUUGCUAAAAGCAAACAUGGAAGCUCUCCCUAAUUCAUCGAUUAAAGGUGGCUCACAUAGAUCGUUCUCUUACUGACUAAUUAAUUAGAUUAUGGAUUUUCUUUAUGUUAUUAUUACUGAUCUCAGAUGCUUAGUUUCCAAGUUUAUCUCAAAACUUCACCUUCUAUGAAUGCCCCCAGGUGGUGCAUAUCUAAAAGCUCUUUGUGCAUUCUUAAGAUUUUUGUAUAUGCAUUUGCGUGAAUUGAGCCCGGAUCUGAUCUGGUUUGGCUAUGUUCAUGGUUUUCUUUGGUCAUGUAUGAGUGGAAAAGGGAGGCAGGGGAGUUCCAGUUUGUGAGGACAGUGGUGACAUGGUUGAUUGAAUGGCAAUAGGAAGAAGGCACAUCUCAUAUAAUUGUUUUAUUCAAGACAAGUCUACACUCUCUUAUGUCAAAUUUGCACAGAUUUCCCUGCCCUAGGCUAUUUCUAAGGGGGAGAGAAGAGUGUUAUUUUUUUGGGGGAAUACAAAGAAUGGUAGCGCAUGAGGAGUAUUAGCCACGGAGGAGGGAGGAGACUGACAUGAGGAAAACAUAUUCUGGAUCGAUUUGGUUCUCAUGGUGGCAUCUUCCCUGCUUUCUCCUUUCUUUUUAUUUCCAACACUCUUUGGUACAGAGCGGUUAACAAACAACUGAACUGAAUAUUGCUUUUUCUCCUUUUCAGAUAAGUUAGUUUACAUUAGUUUUCUGUUUGCUUUCUGUAUGGAUCUAUACAUGUUAUUUUUAUAUCUAGUUUUCUGGGUGCUUUUCAAAAAGGGGGAGACCCAUGGCCGAUAUAGUUGCAUUAAGGUGCAAUUUGAUAACUAAAUACAUAAUAUAAGUCCAUCAAAAUAUUACAUGCAUGUGUGCUGUUUGUGCUUGUAUACCUUCAAUCUGCUUUGUGGAAGGCUGUUUGUAUUAAACUUUAGUGCUCGGUUGUUCAUCAUAGUCCCAUUCCCUUGAUAAUUAAUAUUGAAGCAAUGAAAAAUAGGUGAAAUUGCAAGAAACUUGAAGAAGUGGAGGAACAUGACUCAGUCUGUCAUUGGGGACAUGUACUGUUACAGAUACACUCUGUAUUUCUACCUAUCAUUGGUGUGAUGUUUGAACAUUAAGUUGUCAUUUAAUUAUGGCAUUCCCUUCUGCUUUUGUUUAUGCUAUAACAAUAGCCGCAAACUAUCUUCGGGACGUAUGGCAGGUUUGCUGACAAUCUGAUUGCAUUGCAGGUUUGGUACUAAUUUCUCAAAAAAUCAUGCUUUUGCAGCACCGUCUUGUUGAGCCAUGAGAUCUGAACCAAGGAAUCCAGAUAACAUCGACUAUGUUUAUAGAUCACUACAUGUUCCGUUGGAACAUUGUGAGGUCCUUUUUCCAGUUUGCUACUAAAUUCUCAAAAAAGAAACGUUCUUAUGCAUCACCAUCAUGUGGAACCACGAUACCUGAACCAAUGAACUCAGUGAACAUUUAUUAUAUUUAUUAUGGAUCAUUACAUGUUCUGCUGGAACAAGGUUCCUUUUCAGUAACAAGUUGAACGCGCGUCAUGCUUUUUUGAAUAUAACUGAAUAUCUAAAAUAGCCAUGGUGUACUGCUGUAUAUAUUUUAAAAUGGCAAGCUUGCAUCUUGAUGUUUGAUUGCUAUGAACUUCCGUAUUAUAAAAUUACUAUAGAUCUCCUUUAAUUCUCCAAAAAGGACAAUUUGUUUGUUUGUUACGGUGCCAAUAGUAACAAAAGAUCAUGAUGAAGUUGAGUAUGUAGAAAUACUUUUUAAGGCGCCUCAUUAUUUGCUGCCAAUAACUGUUUUGCCCCAAUCUCUGGCUUUCCAAACAUAGCAUUGCUAUGCCUCCAACAUUCAUCGAUUGUCAAUUAUUCUCUUAUACAUGACAUUGAUGCCCUGUGUUUGGGUAAUAUGUAUAGAAUUAGUUCCGUUCUACAAGGACCGGAUAUUGUCACAUUGAUUAAGUAUAAUUUUUUCAAGCAUGCUAGAGUAUGGUGGCAUUUUAUAGGCCCUUGAGCUAUAAAAUUUUGCAUGCUCAGUUUCUUGAUCUGUAUUUGCCAUUUGAGCCAAAUUAUCUCAUCAGGGAUGCAUCAACAUACAAACUCACCCUUCAGUUUAUUUAUAACAUUUCUUUUUAUAUGGUGCAACAGCUUGAGAUAUAUGAAGAGAAUUUUUACAUGUCCAAUGCAGACUGUUUGUUUUCACUUUCUAAUCAAUGAAGUAUGUUUAAUUGAUAAAGUAAUUGUAAUUGAUGAAGUAGAUAUAGUUGUUGCAGCGGCACAAACUCGGUUGCGUCCGCUAUGACCCCAAUCUUCGGAUUAUUAUAAGUAGAGGUUGAUCGUGUAGGAGGUGAAGAUGCUCACGCCUAAAGCCAAACUUGACACCGUCGACGCCACCAUCCGGGAGCUCAUUUAUAUUGGCUUCAAAUGGCUACCGUUGUAUUUUCUGUACUUUUGGUUGUGGUCGUAAUUGUUACCCUAUGCCUUUGCAAGAAUAACUAAAAAUGGUGAUUUCUAUUGACUGGAAACCGAGUACUUGUCUAAUUAUUGUUCAAGAAAAUAUAGUGAGUCGUGUUCUUGGUUGCUAAUAGUAUAGUACACCUAUGCGGAUCCUUCUGUCGGACCGUUGAAUGGAAAUAACUCAAAAGAAGAUAAUAGAGAUGUUGUCUCUAUGCAAUCGGUAACUGUCAGUUCAGUUGCAAACAACGACCAUCACAAAUAACUUUGAGAUGUCCAUUGGUAAAGGUCAGAUUGGAGUAGUCUAUUUUGGCUACUUGGAAGAUGGAACCCCAGUUGCAGUCAAAACACGCUUAGAAUCAUCAUCUCAUGGGGUUAAUGAGUUCUUGGCAGAGGCUCUACAUCUAAUAAGAGUUCAUCACAGGAACUUGGUCAAUCUGGUUAGCCACUACAAGGAUGGACACCACUCAACUCUUGUCUACGAGUAUAAAUUGCUAAUUUGCAUUGCUCUUUCGUGCAACAAGUGCGUUGAUACUUACAAACAACAGGCAUGUGACUAUUUACUAUCGCUGUUGUUUGGUAUUCGAACAUGUCUUUUCGAGGGGGAGAUGGGAACAGAUAGACUCAGUGAAAGUUGGCUGCACGUAAACUAUUGUGAUCAAGUUGGAAAAAAAUGUUUCCCCUCUUAACUGCUCCUGUUGGAGACUGGGGUCAGUAGUCACUGAAAUUUGCACACGCAUGGAGGAAUGAAUGAUGAUUCUCAAGUAACGAAGUUGUAGCCUUCACGACAAGAUAAAUGGAUGAUUUUGCAGCUCAAGUGUUGCUACAUGUUACAGAUAACUAUGGCAUUCCAUUUUAAUGAAUCUGCAUAUUGCUGUUGAGCACCGGAAGCGAGGGAGGGCAUGGCUGCACUGGAGGUUGUCCCAAGGCGAGGGCAGGGAAGAGACAUGCAACAAUGAGGGUUGCAACCGUAAUCAAUAUCUCAACGUCAAAUCAUUUCCUAUAGCCUUCCAGCAAGUUCAUUCUUAUUUUCUGAUUGGGUCAUGUUAGGCCAGCAAAGUAAACCUAGAAAAACUGAUUAGGCAAUGAUGUUUUUGUUUAAUUUUAGUGUUUGGUGUUUGUUUCAGAUAUGAAUAAUUCUGGUUAUGGUUUCUGCAUUGCAUAGUGACGUUAUAAUGAGAUUAGAGAUAGUUGUCACGCAUCUCUUUUCACUACAAACACAUAUGCACUUGCUUUUCGAUCA